GGACUACCCGGGUAUCUAAUCCCGUUCGCUCCCCUGGCUUUCGCACCUCAGCGUCAGUUGCCUCCCAGGACCCUGCCUUCGCCUGUGGUAUUCCUCCGGAUCUCUACGCAUUUCACCACUCCACCCGGAAUUCUAAGUCCCUCUGAGGCCCUCAAGCCCCACCGUCUUCCCGGCACUCCCCUCGUUAAGCGAAGAGCUGGCACCGGAAACGCGCAGGGCCGCCUGCGUGCGCUUUACGCCCAGUAACUCCGGACAACGCUUGCCCCCUACGUCUUACCGCGGCUGCUGGCAC
rnacentral:rRNA from 1 species